UAUUUAUAUGUAGAGGUGUGUGGCUUAGUGGUUAGGGUGUUGGACUUGUGAUCAUAAGAUUGUGGUUUCAAUCCCUAGACUGGGUGAUGCGUUAUGUUCUAGAGCAAAACACUUCAUUUCAUAUUGCUCCAGUCUGAU